AUUGAACGCUGGCGGCAGGCCUAACACAUGCAAGUCGAGCGGAGGAAGGGUGCUCGCUUCCGGAUUCGGCGGGCGACGGGCGGGUGAGUAAUGGGUAUCUGCCCUGCUGUUUGGCAGAGGGUCAGAACACGGGCGCAAAUACCCUAUUCCAGCAGACGGCGAAAGAGGGGGAUCAUGGGACCUCACGCCAUUUGAUGAACCUAGGUCGGAUUAGCUAGUUGGUUGGGUAAAGGCCUACCAAGGCGACGAUCCGUAGCUGGUCUGAGAGGAUGAUCAGCCACACUGGAACUGAGACACGGUCCAGACUCCUACGGGAGGCAGCAGUGGGGAAUAUUGGACAAUGGGCGAAAGCCUGAUCCAGCCAUACCGCGUGUGUGAAGAAGGUCUUCGGAUUGUAAAGCCCUUUGGUUGGGAAGGAAGAGCAGUAGGUUAAUACCUUGCUGUUUUGACGGUACCAACAGAAUAAGCACCGGCUAACUUCGUG
rnacentral:rRNA from 1 species